UGGCUGAGCUCUACCACUGAGCCGAGCCUGGUCCUGGUCCUGGCCCUGGCCCUGGCCCU
rnacentral:miRNA from 1 species